AGGGGUGUAGCUUAGUGGAAGAGCUCUUGCUUAGGAUGUGCAAGGCCCUGGAUUCAAUCCCCAGCACCUCAA
rnacentral:tRNA from 1 species